rnacentral:rRNA from 1 species
GAUUAGUAAGUAAAAAGUGAAAUCCCAAGGCUCAACCUUGGAAUUGCUUUUAAACUGCUAAUCUAGAGAUUGAAAGAGGAUAGAGGAAUUCCUAGUGUAGAGGUGAAAUUCGUAAAUAUUAGGAGGAACACCAGUGGCGAAGGCGUCUAUCUGGUUCAAAUCUGACGCUGAGGCGCGAAGGCGUGGGGAGCAAACAGGAUUAGAUACCCUGGUAGUCCACGCUGUAAACGAUGAAUGUUAAAUAUGGGAAGUUUUACUUUCUGUAUUACAGCUAACGCGUUAAACAUUCCGCCUGGGGACUACGGUCGCAAGAUUAAAACUCAAAGGAAUUGACGGGGACCCGCACAAGCGGUGGAGCAUGUGGUUUAAUUCGAUGCAACGCGAAAAACCUUACCACUCCUUGACAUGGAAAUUAUACCUAUUCGAAGGGAUAGGGUCGGUUCGUCCGGGUUUCACACAGGUGUUGCAUGGCUGUCGUCAGCUCGUGUCGUGAGAUGUUGGGUUAAGUCCCGCAACGAGCGCAACCCUCAUCCUUAGUUACCAUCAGGUAAUGCUGGGGACUUUAAGGAAACUGCCAGUGAUAAACUGGAGGAAGGUGGGGAUGAUGUCAAGUCAUCAUGGCCCUUAUGGAGUGGGCUACACACGUGCUACAAUGGUGGCUACAAUGGGCUGCAAAGUCGCGAGGCUAAGCUAAUCCCUUAAAAGCCAUCUCAGUUCGGAUUGUACUCUGCAACUCGAGUGCAUGAAGUUGGAAUCGCUAGUAAUCGUGGAUCAGCACGCCACGGUGAAUACGUUCUCGGGUCUUGUACACACUGCCCGUCACGCCAUGGGAAUUGGUUUCACUCGAAGCUAACGACCUAACCGCAAGGAGGGAGUUAUUUAAAGUGGGAUCGGUGACUGGGGUGAAGUCGUAACAAGGUAGCAGUAGGGGAAUCUGCGGCUGGAUCAC